GGAGCACUGACUGGGAUUUGUUUUUGUGUGUCAUCUCACUUUACUUCAACUCCAAGUGCAGACUAUCAUCUGUACCUGAGGAAUUAUCCCUCCUAACCCUAAUCUCAGCCUGACUGCUAAUCUUGGGCAGCGUCUGAGCACUUUUCCUCCUCUGGAUGAUUUACAGCAGUCAGACAUUCAGCAGUUAGUCUGGGUUGGCUUGGCUGAGUGUGUGAAAACAACAAAGACUCUCAUAGGAUGGAUGCCAAAGAAGAGACGCUGAACCUCCUGAACAGGAUUUGGGUAAAGUUGCAGGGUCUGCCCAGAGCCAACGCUAUAGAGGUGGGAGCUUUCUCCAUCCUUCUGACCUUCAUCUUGGUGGUCCUGUUCAUGAUAGUGCUGACCUGCGUGACCUGCUGCUGCUGUCGCAAGACCAGGAUGAAGGGACCAAACAUCUGAGCAAAUGUGCUCCACACAAGGAGAAUUUCAGUUCAUUAUCAUCAGGCAUCUAAGCACAGGAGAUGGUGCACACACAAAAAAAUCCCACAAAUGCAGGCUUUCGCUGCAGCACCAUGAAUCCUGUAGAGUCAAUGA